rnacentral:rRNA from 1 species
UACGGAGGGUGCAAGCGUUGCUCGGAAUUAUUGGGCGUAAAGGGUAGGUAGGUGGUCUCGUUUGUCUGGGGUGAAAGCCUUGAGCUUAACUCAAGAAGUGCCCCCAGAAACGGCGAGACUAGAGUCCUGGAGAGGGUCGUGGAAUUCCCGGUGUAGCGGUGAAAUGCGUAGAGAUCGGGAGGAACACCAGAGGCGAAGGCGGCGACCUGGACAGGCACUGACACUCAACUACGAAAGCGUGGGGAGCAAACAGG